rnacentral:rRNA from 1 species
GUGGGGAAUCUUGCGCAAUGGGCGAAAGCCUGACGCAGCCAUGCCGCGUGAAUGAUGAAGGUCUUAGGAUUGUAAAAUUCUUUCACCGGGGACGAUAAUGACGGUACCCGGAGAAGAAGCUCCGGCUAACUUCGUGCCAGCAGCCGCGGUAAUACGAAGGGGGCUAGCGUUGCUCGGAAUUACUGGGCGUAAAUGGCGCGUAGGCGGACAGCUUAGUCAGAGGUGAAAGCCCAGGGCUCGACCUUGGAAUUGCCUUUGAUACUGGCUGUCUUGAGUUUGGGAGAGGUGAAUGGAACUCCGAGUGUAGAGGUGAAAUUCGUAGAUAUUCGGAAGAACACCAGUGGCGAAGGCGACUCACUGGCCCGUUACUGACGCUGAGGCGCGAAAGCGUGGGGAGCAAACAGGAUUAGAUACCCCGGUAGUCC